ensembl:lncRNA
CUGAGAUAUGACUCUAUAGGUGUGUAGUAAUGUUCUCAGUGUGUGAACAUUCCACUCCCUGCCCUGAGCUGCGCUCCACACUUCCUCAGGAAACAGCCUUCACUUCCUGUACAAUUACCCGAGCGAAGGCUGUGUGGCGUGAUAGCUACUGCGAAUCCUCCUCUGCGUCUCGCUACUUCACACAUUCACACCGUUUCUCACACUCUUUCUGGUCAGUGUAGUGGUCAGCCAUGUGGACGAUACGAUGUUCCCAUCUCCUCCUCCACCUCCUCCUGAGCUUCACCUGUACACGAGCUGAAUCAGUUUUAGAUCUUCGAAAUACAACAUAAAAUGAAGGCAACCUGAGUAAACAUGCAAUACGGUUUUUAUUUAUUUAUUUAUUUUAUUGAAGCAAAUAACUGAUCCAACACAUAUCACUUAUGUCAAAAACUUGCCCCCUUAAACUUAAAAUCUGUGCCAUCUUAACAGUAAUAAGUGCAACCAACCGCUUCUGACAACUGGAGAUCAGUCUUUCACUAACUUCUAGGACUAGGACUUACUCCUAUGCUUUGGAUCGUUGUCUUGCUGCAUAGAGUUU